rnacentral:rRNA from 1 species
UAAGGAAUAUUGGUCAAUGGACGCAAGUCUGAACCAGCCAUGCCGCGUGAAGGAUGAAGGUCCUCUGGAUUGUAAACUUCUUUUAUCUGGGACGAAAACGGGAUUUUUAUCUCAAUUGACGGUACCAGAGGAAUAAGCACCGGCUAACUCCGUGCCAGCAGCCGCGGUAAUACGUAGGUGGCAAGCGUUGUCCGGAUUUACUGGGCGUAAAGGGAGCGUAGGCGGACUUUUAAGUGAGAUGUGAAAUACCCGGGCUCAACCUGGGUGCUGCAUUUCNAACUGGAAGUCUAGAGUGCAGGAGAGGAGAGUGGAAUUCCUAGUGUAGCGGUGAAAUGCGUAGAGAUUAGGAAGAACACCAGUGGCGAAGGCGACUCUCUGGACUGUAACUGACGCUGAGGCUCGAAAGCGUGGGGAGCAAACC